UACGAAGGGGGCUAGCGUUGCUCGGAAUCACUGGGCGUAAAGCGCACGUAGGCGGCUUGUUAAGUCAGGGGCGAAAUCCUGGAGCUCAACUCCAGAACUGCCUUUGAUACUGGCGAGCUUGAGUUCGGGAGAGGUGAGUGGAAUUCCUAGUGUAGAGGUGAAAUUCGUAGAUAUUAGGAAGAACACCAGUGGCGAAGGCGGCUCACUGGUCCGGUACUGACGCUGAGGUGCGAAAGCGUGGGGAGCAAACAGG
rnacentral:rRNA from 1 species